GACGAACGCUGGCGGCGUGCUUAACACAUGCAAGUCGAACGGAAAGGCCUCUUUCUGGGGGUACUCGCGUGGCGAACGGGUGAGUAACACGUGAGUAACCUGCCCUUGACUUUGGGAUAACUUCAGGAAACUGGGGCUAUACCGUAUCGGAGCUCCUGCUGCAUGGUGGGGGUUGGAAGGUUUCGGCGGUUGGGGUUGGACUGGUGGCUUAUCAGCUUGUUGGUGGGGUAGUGGCUUACCAAGGCUUUGACGGGUGGCCGGCCUGUGAGGGUGACCGGCCACAUUGGGACUGAGAUACGGCCCAGACACCUACGGGAGGCAGCAGUGGGGAAUAUUGCCCAAUGGGUGGAAGCCUGAUGCAGCAACGCCGUGUGCGGGAUGACGGCCUUAGGGUUGUAAACCGCUUUCGCUCAUGACGAAGCUUUGUGUGACGGUAGUGGGUAAAGAAGCACCGGCUAACUACGUG
rnacentral:rRNA from 1 species